rnacentral:rRNA from 1 species
UGAGCAAUCUACCUUUUUGUGGGGGAUAGCCGGCCCAACGGCCGGGUAAUACCGCAUACGAUCUUCGAGAGGCAUUUCUUGAAGAUGAAGCCUACGGGGCAAAAAGAGGAGCUCGCGGCCUAUCAGCUAGUUGGUGAGGUAAUGGCUCACCAAGGCAAUGACGGGUAGCUGGUUUGAGAGGAUGGCCAGCCACAUUGGGACUGAGAUACGGCCCAGACUCCUACGGGAGCAG